GGAAAAGGUGGAUGGAGAAGGUGGUGAUGACAUUGAAGAUGAUAGUGAAGAGAAUAUCAAGCAUGAUGAUGGGGAUGAAGAAGAAUGUGAUGUGUGUUGUGUAGAUGAUGAUGAAAAAUUCAAAUUUGAUAGAAAAUCUUUUUCAAAGUUACUUAGGAGGGUGACAUUGGCUGAAGCUAGAUUGUAUGCUCAGAUGUCUUAUUUGGGAAGUUUGGCUUAUGGAAUACCCCAAAUUAAGCCAGAAAAUUUAUUGAGGAAUCACGGAUUGCGUCUUGUUACGUCUUCAUGUGAGAAAAGAGAGCAGGCGUUAAAAGUUGAGAAAGAGAAGGCAGAAGCUGAAGAUCAGGAGAAGAAAGAGAAUGAAAUCGCUCAAACUCAGGGAGAAGAAAGAAGCACUACAAUUCCAGUAGAAGGGAAUGGAAAGACCAGUGGGAACAGGAUAAGUGCAUCCACAGCUUACCAUAUAGCUGCCUCUGCUGCGUCUUAUUUGCACUCUCAUACAAUGAGCAUUCUUCCUUUUAAAUCCUCCAAGACUAUGCCAAAUAAAGAUUCCUCUGAAACAACCGUCGGAUGUGAUGACAAUAUAGAUGCAAUGAACAGGGAAGUUGCUUCUUUUAUGGUAACCAGUGACUCAGUGACAUCAGUAGUUGCUGCAAAGGAGGAAGUAAAGCAGGCUGUUGCAGACGACCUAAAUUCAAAUCAUUCUUCACCCUGUGAGUGGUUCGUUUGUG
rnacentral:misc_RNA from 1 species